rnacentral:rRNA from 1 species
AAUGAACGUUGGCGGCGUGCUUAACACAUGCAAGUCGAACGAAGCACCUUGAUUUGAUUCUUCGGAUGAAGAUCUUGGUGACUGAGUGGCGGGCGGGUGAGUAACGCGUGGGUAACCUGCCUCAUACAGGGGGAUAACAGUUAGAAAUGACUGCUAAUACCGCAUAAGACCACAGUACCGCAUGGUACAGGGGUAAAAACUCCGGUGGUAUGAGAUAGACCCGCGUCUGAUUAGGUAGUUGGUGGGGUAACGGCCUACCAAGCCGACGAUCAGUAGCCGACCUGAGAGGGUGACCGGCCACAUUGGGACUGAGACACGGCCCAAACUCCUACGGGAGGCAGCAGUGGGGAAUAUUGCACAAUGGGGGAAACCCUGAUGCAGCGACGCCGCGUGAGCGAUGAAGUAUUUCGGUAUGUAAAGCUCUAUCAGCAGGGAAGAAAAUGACGGUACCUGACUAAGAAGCACCGGCUAAAUACGUGCCAGCCGCCGCCGUAA